rnacentral:lncRNA from 1 species
UCAACUGGUCAUAAUCUUGUCUGCUCAACCCUGGUAUCACAGAGCUCUGGCCAUCUAUUCUUGCAACAGAUUGAUGGCUAGCAGGAGGAUUCCCUUGAGAAACAGACAACAGUCCAUCAGAAAUAGGAGAAUCCAGACCAGUACUCAGAUGAGCAGUAGUAGGUCUCCUUCCCUUGUUAAAAGUGGUACUUUGUGGAUACCUAUGGAUCUUGAAGCACUUAUCAAUUAAGUGUCAGAUUUUUUACAGUAUCUACAAAAUAAAGGUCCCCUGGCUUGGUCAAAAUUGACUCUCUGUC